GACGUAGGGACCGAGCGUUGUCCGGAUUCAUUGGGCGUAAAGAGCUCGUAGGCGGCCACUCAAGUCGAAUGUGAAACCUCGAGGCUUAACCUCGAGCCUGCAUUCGAUACUGGGCGGCUAGAGUCUGGUAGGGGGAUCUGGAAUUCCUGGUGUAGCGGUGAAAUGCGCAGAUAUCAGGAGGAACACCGAUGGCGAAGGCAGGUCUCUGGGCAUUAACUGACGCUGAGGAGCGAAAGCAUGGGGAGCGAACAGG
rnacentral:rRNA from 1 species